rnacentral:rRNA from 1 species
UGAGUAACCUGCCCUUAACUCUGGGAUAAGCCUGGGAAACUGGGUCUAAUACCGGAUAUGACUCCUCAUCGCAUGGUGGGGGGUGGAAAGCUUUUUGUGGUUUUGGAUGGACUCGCGGCCUAUCAGCUUGUUGGUGUGGGUAAUGGCCCACCAAGGCGACGACGGGUAGCCGGCCUGAGAGGGUGACCGGCCACACUGGGACUGAGACACGGCCCAGACUCCUACGGGAGGCAG